AAGUCGUAACAAGGUUUCCGUAGGUGAACCUGCGGAAGGAUCAUUAACGAAUAACUAUGGUGUUGGUUGUAGCUGGCUCCUCGGAGCAAUUGUGCACGCCCGCCAUUUUUAUCUUUCCACCUGUGCACCGACUGUAGGUCUGGAUACCUCUCGCCUCCUCCGGGAGGCGGAUGCGGGGAUUGCUCACAAGGGCUCUCCUCGAACUUCCAGGCUCUACGUCUUUUUACACACCCCAAUAGUAUGAUCCAGAAUGAUAGUCAAUGGGCUUUUCAUAGCCUAUAAAACACUAUACAACUUUCAGCAACGGAUCUCUUGGCUCUC
rnacentral:misc_RNA from 1 species